GCGGGGAUGCCGGAGUGGUCAAACGGGCUAGAUUUAGGCUCUAGUGGUUUAUCCUUACCUAGGUUCGAAUCCUAGUCCUCGCA
rnacentral:tRNA from 1 species